CAAUACCGAAUAUUGUCCGGAGCCGUGAAGGGUUCCGGGGAAAGGGAGGCCUCUGAUACAAGCUUUCGCCUUAAGAUGAGCCCAUGGCCCAUCAGCUAGUUGGUAGGGUAAAGGCCUACCAAGGCUACGACGGGUCGCUGGUCUGAGAGGACGACCAGCCACACUGGCACUGAGAUACGGGCCAGACUCCUACGGGAGGCAGCAGUGAGGAAUAUUGCGCAAUGGGGGAAACCCUGACGCAGCAACGCCGCGUGUGGGAAGAAGGCCUUCGGGUCGUAAACCACUUUUGCACGGGACGAAAAAGGGAUAUCGAACAAAUAUCCCCGAUGACGGUACCGUGAGAAUAAGCCACGGCUAACUCUGUGCCAGCAGCCGCGGUAAGACAGAGGUGGCAAGCGUUGUUCGGAAUUACU
rnacentral:rRNA from 1 species